rnacentral:rRNA from 1 species
CCCUUAGAUGUUCUGGGCCGCACGCGCGCUACACUGAUGCAUGCAGCAAGUCUUUUCCUUGGCCGAGAGGCCUGGGCAAUCUUUGAAUAUGCAUCGUGAUGGGGAUAGACGAUUGCAAUUAUUCGUCUUCAACGAGGAAUUCCUAGUAAACGCAAGUCAUCAGCUUGCAUUGAUUACGUCCCUGCCCUUUGUACACACCGCCCGUCGCACCUACCGAUUGAAUGGUCCGGUGAAGGCUCCGGAGGCGUCUUUCUCAAUGUUUAUUCGGCGAGAUUGGUGCCAAAGUUGAAUGAACCUUACCAUUUAGAGGAAGGUGAAGGCGUAACA